rfam:Populus trichocarpa isolate Nisqually-1 chromosome 3, whole genome shotgun sequence.
UAAUUUUUCCAGGACAGAUCCUUGUUUAGUUAUAAUAGAAUCACAUCUGACUGCUCAUAAUUACUCGUGAGAAUUGCUACAUAAACAAUAACUUUUAAAUAA